GAAGUCGUAGCGCAGAGGUAGUCGCGCACGGUCUCCAAAAUCGUGAGGACGCCGGUUCGAAUCCGGCCGGCUCCG
rnacentral:tRNA from 1 species